GUGGAUCACUUUGAGGCUGACAUAGCGCAAGUAUGGUUCUUAAGGCCAGAAAAGUGAGAGCACUGUGUUGGUGUCUGCUGAUUGGGAAUUCAAGCAGUCAAAAACAUGAAAUUAUUGCAGUCACACAGAUCUCAGAGUUUGAGCAGUGUGACAGCAGGACCUGGGCCAUGGAUGGUUUUUGCACUUGGACCUGCUUGCCUGCUGUAGAUCCUGC